AAGCAAUUUGCUCAUAGCCAUAGCUUUCUUGUGAAAGUAGGAUAUUAACCCAGGUGUCUUGGUGCUGGAGAACAGAACUGGCCAGAGUCCAUCCUGUCUCCCACCGGCAUCCCAUUACGAAAUGAACACAGAAAAGGCAGGUCUGCAAUGCCAACAUCUAGUAUCUAUCCCAAAGACCAGGGAGAAAGGAAGGAAAGAUUCUGGUUCUGUCCUCUUCCCCAAGGCAAGGCUGGCUGCCCUACCAACAGAGGCAAAGAGAAGAGUGUGCAAGGCUGGCUGCCCUCCCAACAGAGGCAAAGAGGAGUGUGUGUUGAAAUAUCCAUUGAAUCCCUGAGACAACUGGAUCCUGGCCCAUUGAAUCAUAAACUCAAAUCUCACAUCAUAACCCCAAAUGACCUGUUACUCACCAUGUGGCCCAGCUGUCUUCAAACUCACCAGCCUCCUGCCUUAGCCUUCUAAAUGCUUGGAUUACAGGCAUGACCCACCAUAACUGGCUUUGUUUUAGUUUCAGAGAAGAUGAAACUGAUGUGCGUCAAAAAGCUGGUAGUCUGUCAAGGAAAUGAGCUGAACAUGUCUGUGUACAGCUUUUGUGCCAUCCCUGGAUGAGCGAGCUGUCUGCCUCUAUGUUCUCCACAAAAUGGAAUAUAGCUGUACACCCAAGCCAAGUUAUGGAGGCUGGGAAGACCUAGAAUGUGGCAUCACUAUUUGGUUAUUUAGAAAAUUGUUACCUCAAAAAUGACCUAGGGGUCCUUAGAAUAAUAACACACAGAAGAAUAGCCUCAUUUUUCUGUUGGGCCCAGGAAACCAUGCCGAUUACCGACCGAGCUCUCAAUGGAAAAAUGCAGUCGGCGUGAACCACGCACGAACACAGCAGAGAAAGAAGAAAACACACACCACGAGGAACCCUAAUAGGACAAUACAUUAUAAGUCACAGUGCUACGGAGAAACCCAGUAGCCACAUGGAAGCAGAGACCAUGCAUAUGCAUCUACUCCGCAGCUCUGUGAAUGUCAGCAGCUCCCACGGACUGGAGAUCCCGUGAGAUCCCGUGAGAUCUCACCCAUAGCCUCAUGGUACAUCCACUUGGUGUGCUGGGAGAGUCAGGAUGAGGACCUGAGAAGAACAGCAGCUUGAACCUGACUUCAUUUAACAGCCCACUGCCCUCUUGCCAAGAACCCAUCACAGACCUUCCCAGAAGAGAGGGAUGAGCCUCACCUAUGAAUAAGUCCUCAGAAACUCAAAUUUGAUUCUAAUGGAUUGUUUUCUCAGAAAGACUGAGCAUGUCCCCCCACAUCUCUGUCAUUUCCCACAGUAGUAACCUCUGCAGAUGCCACAUAGAAAACAAAACAAAACAAAAAAACAUGAGGUUGGUGGGCAGAUAGGCAGGGUAUAAACAAACAGCCUUGUAACCCAGAAGCUGUGUGAUAUACAGUAAACUUCACAACACUGAAAAGAUGUCCUAUCUGUUAAAAUGGGGUAAUAACAACUACCCGAAUGUUUAGGAAUAGAACUUCAAUAAAUGAUACAUUUUAUAGUACAGCAGACCAUCCUGUAAAGGUUUCAUCCUUCACUGUGGUGAUAAAUAUCCCAAACCACAUUGAAAAGCAUUGCAUCUACAUUUAUCUACACUGUAACUGUACUGUAAAUCAUGGGGGAGGGGAGAAUCAUAAAAACACCACCUGUCACCGUGUCAUUAAAGCAAGUUGGAAGUGAUACUUACAGAAACACAGCAAGAGCACCCCCAGUCACACAGUUCAAUCUCUUAGCAAGCGUUUUCUUUCUAGCCCAGUGGUUCUCAGUUUGGAAUUUUUGGCACUGCCUAGAGAUAGUUUUGUUGUUAAAACUGAGAAAAGAGCCGGGCGUGGUGGCACACGCCUUUAAUCCCAGCACUCAGGAGGCAGAGGCAGG
rnacentral:lncRNA from 1 species